rnacentral:tRNA from 1 species
ACGACUGUAGCUCAACCAGGCAGAGCACCCGUAGAAGCGGUUAGAAAUCGGUUCGAACCCGAUCAGUCGUC